rnacentral:rRNA from 1 species
CCCUUAGAUGUCCUGGGCCGCACGCGCGUUACACUGAUGCAUUCAACGAGCUUAUAACCUUGGCCGAGAGGCCUGGGCAAUCUUUUUAACGUGCAUCGUGAUAGGGAUAGAUUAUUGAAAUUAUUAAUCUUGAACGAGGAAUUCCUAGUAAACGCAGAUCAUCAAUCUGCAUUGAUUACGUCCCUGCCCUUUGUACACACCGCCCGUCGCACCUACCGAUUGGAUGGUCCGGUGAAGCCUCGGGAUUGUGGUUCUUGCCGCUUUAUUGUGGCGUGACCGCGAGAACUUGUCUAAACCUUAUCAUCUAGAGGAAGGUGAAGUCGUAACA